rnacentral:rRNA from 1 species
UAAUACGAAGGGGGCAAGCGUUGUUCGGAAUGACUGGGCGUAAAGGGCGCGUAGGCGGUCCGUUGCGUCGGGUGUGAAAGCCCCGGGCUCAACCCGGGAGGGGCACUCGAUACGGGCGGGCUAUGAGUGCGGAAGAGGGUGGUGGAAUUCCCAGUGUAGAGGUGAAAUUCGUAGAUAUUGGGAAGAACACCGGUGGCGAAGGCGGCCACCUGGUCCGGCACUGACGCUGAGGCGCGAAAGCGUGGGGAGCAAACAGGAUUAGAUACCCUGGUAGUCCACGCCGUAAACGAUGUGCGCUAGCCGUCGGGCGGCAUGCCGUUCGGUGGCGCAGCAAACGCGAUAAGCGCACCGCCUGGGGAGUACGGCCGCAAGGUUA